UGCGGCUGGAUCACCUCCUUUCUAAGGAAGCUGUGGAAUUGGUAAGACGACCGUCUUGAACGGUAUGAACCUUCCCGUGCUUUUUAGAACAUAGAUGGCGUCAGUCAGGCGACCAUCGCAACGUAAUACGCCGCAGAGGCCUUGAGCCCUGACGGUAUGGCGGGAACCGCCGACUACGUUUCUCUUUCUUCAAAAGGAUAUCGAACCAUUGGUUCUGCGCUCACGCGCCGUACCGCAUGUCUUUGACAUGCUGGCGCUCCGCGAGGGCGCCGGACGACCGGCGACGGCCUCUGGCCUGUAUGGGUGCCUGAUAGCAGCACAUCGUUCAGCGAGAUGGGCCCGUAGCUCAGUUGGUUAGAGCACACGCUUGAUAAGCGUGGGGUCGGAAGUUCAAGUCUUCCCGGGCCCACCAUCUUCCUUCCGGUUGAUGGGUUGUUUGAUCUUGAUCCUCCUGAUGGCUUGUCUGUCAGGUGUUGCGAUGGUUGGGGCUGUAGCUCAGCUGGGAGAGCACCUGCUUUGCAAGCAGGGGGUCAGCGGUUCGAUCCCGCUCAGCUCCACCAAUUCGCUUUUGGUGUCGAGACGAGCGAUGAUAUCCUUUGAAGAAGUAAAAGUUUGCAUCAUCCCGAUGGGAUGGAUGCCUGUUCUGCAAAAAUCGUGAAGAGAAGAUUGAUCUGGAGGCUUCCAGGUUCGGGUUUAGGCCCGAGUUUGAAGCUGGUCCUUAUGAUGUCGUUGAUGGUCUAGCCGACUGGAAACGAAAGAGGGGUCAGUGGAGAAAGGAAGCUUGUCACUCUGGUCGGUCGUUGUUGGCAUUCAGCCGGACGUGUUCCGGGGAGUGCUUCUGACGACUUUACUGAUGGCCGUCUGCUAACCGCGCGGUCCCGGAUUUGAUCUCGAGAAGCUGGUCUUAAGAUCGGACGCAAGUGAGCUGCUCGGCGUAGCUCCGAUAAAGCGAUCCGAUCGAACACGUCGAUGGCAUCAUGAGAUGGCAGGGUUGUAAAAGGUAGCCCUGCUGCUGACCGUUCUAGCGAACGGCAGCUAACUGAUGAGCAUUGGCAAUGAGAACGAUUAAGUGUCGUAAGGGCAUUUGGUGGAUGCCUUGGCAUGCACAGGCGAAGAAGGACGUGAUACGCUGCGAUAAGCCGUGGGGAGCUGCGAAUGAGCUUUGAUCCAUGGAUCUCCGAAUGGGGCAACCCACCUUAAAUGCUUGGGAAUCUGAUGCGCCGCAGGCGCAUGGGUGAUUGGUGAGCAGUUAUUGGUGAGUAGGAAAGAACUACUCACUACCGACUAACCGCUACUCACUUGCGUCGAAGACGCCUCAGGUUCCAAGCAUUGUGAUAAGGUAUCUAACCUUCGAAUAGAUAGGGGUUAGAAGCGAACGCAGGGAACUGAAACAUCUAAGUACCUGCAGGAAAGGACAUCAACCGAGACUCCGCAAGUAGUGGCGAGCGAACGCGGACCAGGCCAGUGGCAAUCAGGAAUAAAGCCGAACAAGCUGGAAAGCUUGGCCGUAGCGGGUGACAGCCCCGUAGGCGUAGAACACUGAUUGUCCUAGAGUAGGGCGGGACACGAGAAAUCCUGUCUGAACAUGGGGAGACCACUCUCCAAGCCUAAGUACUCGUGCAUGACCGAUAGCGAACAAGUACCGUGAGGGAAAGGUGAAAAGCACCCCGACAAGGGGAGUGAAAUAGAACCUGAAACCGGAUGCCUACAAGCAGUCGGAGGGCGCAAGCCUGACGGCGUACCUUUUGUAUAAUGGGUCAACGACUUAGUGUAACUAGCAAGCUUAAGCCGGUAGGUGUAGGCGCAGCGAAAGCGAGUCUGAAUAGGGCGAUUGAGUUAGUUGCAUUAGACCCGAAACCGAGUGAUCUAGCCAUGAGCAGGCUGAAGGUUGGGUAACACCAACUGGAGGGCCGAACCCGCAUCUGUUGCAAUAGAUUGGGAUGACUUGUGGCUAGGGGUGAAAGGCCAAUCAAACUCGGAGAUAGCUGGUUCUCCGCGAAAUCUAUUUAGGUAGAGCGUCGAGCGAAUACCUCAGGGGGUAGAGCACUGGAUGGGCUAUGGGGACUCACCGUCUUACUGAUCCUAACCAAACUGCGAAUACCUGAGAGUACUACUCGGCAGACACACGGCGGGUGCUAACGUCCGUCGUGAAGAGGGCAACAACCCUGACCUCCAGCUAAGGUCCCCAAGUCAUGGCUAAGUGGGAAAGGAUGUGAGGAUCCCAAAACAACCAGGAUGUUGGCUUAGAAGCAGCC
rnacentral:tRNA from 1 species